AUGGUUGAUCAAGGAAGCAUUGUUGUCAAGAAAGCAAAGAGCUUCAGUUUCUGCAAACAAGGUGUCAUUGUCGAAGGUGAGUCCACGCCGAUAAAGAGCAAUGUGGUCAUAUUCGUCACCGGAUACAAGGGGAUGUUCACAUCAUCCUUGUUCAGAGACAUUGUGACUGGCCCGCCAUCCAGUAGUACUCCUCUCUACAGGCAAUGCGUGCAUCCUAGGACCCCGCAAUUGGCGAUCACCGGCUACUCUGAGAGCAUAGCAACAUGCACUCCAAAUGGUUGGCACAUUUCCUUGAUGGAGCAUUUCAGUUGCCUAGCAUAA
rnacentral:rRNA from 1 species